GGUCCCAUAGCUCAGUUGGUUAGAGCGUCGUACUAAUAUUAUAACUUCCCCUAAUCAGGACUAUAACAUUGGUAAAUGCGAAGGCCGUGAGUUCAAGCCUCACUGGGACCA